rnacentral:rRNA from 1 species
GACGAACGCUGGCGGCGUGCUUAACACAUGCAAGUCGAACGCUGAAGCUCAGCUUUUGUUGGGUGGAUGAGUGGCGAACGGGUGAGUAACACGUGAGUAACCUGCCCCCUUCUUUGGGAUAACGCCCGGAAACGGGUGCUAAUACUGGAUAUUCACUGGUCUUCGCAUGGGGGUUGGUGGAAAGGGUUUUUCUGGUGGGGGAUGGGCUCGCGGCCUAUCAGCUUGUUGGUGGGGUGAUGGCCUACCAAGGCUUUGACGGGUAGCCGGCCUGAGAGGGUGACCGGUCACAUUGGGACUGAGAUACGGCCCAGAGUCCUACGGGAGGCAGCAGUGGGGAAUAUUGCACAAUGGGCGCAAGCCUGAUGCAGCGACGCCGCGUGAGGGAUGGAGGCCGUCGGGUUGUGAACCUCUUUCGCUAAUGGUCAAGCCGCAACAAUGGUUGUGGUGAGGGUAGUGGGUAAAGAAGCGCCGGCUAACUACGUG